UUUGGCUUGGUUUUUUUUUUGUUGUUGUUGUUUGAUUUGGGGUUUUUUUUGUUUGUUUGUUUGGGUUUGAAGUUCCUAGAGGAGCACAUCUGUAGCAGCACAAGUACAGGCUCCCUCUGGUGGCUCAUUUCCAUAAAUGACAGCUUUUUUCCCCAAAAAAAUCCCCAUUCGGUGCAGUCCAACCAAUUGGAGUUGGCUGCCCCAUUCGGUGCAGUCCAACCAAUUGGAGUUGGCUGGAUGAGGUGGAACCUGUUUGAGAGCACGAGUAAGUUCCAGUAUAAUGUUUCUGAAUGCACAGAAAACCUGACCAGCCUCCAAAAACCAAGGAGGAGGGAAAGAUUUAACCUCUGUGUGAAGUAAACAGGUACUACAGUUAGGGCCAGAAAUCAGACAAAUUUCACCUCCCAGGAGAAAGCCUGGCCAGAAAUUCUGUGAGGACUUUCUGCAUCUGC
rnacentral:lncRNA from 1 species